UUCACAUAAAAUGUAUAAAAUUAGUGCUGUAUUAAACUUACAAUACCUAAUUUACAUACUGUACAGACGAUAAUAAACUCAACUUACUAGCCUAAAAUAUCAGUAGCGUGACGCCAGGCGGCAGAGAGCAUAUAUAAAAUAAUAAUAAAGUUACAAUAAAUUAAGUAAAGACAUCAUUAUAUGUACAGUACCUAAUUUAUGUAUAAUUUAUAUAUAAUACUGUACAGACGAUAGCAAACUCAAUUUAGUUGCUCCGUAGCGUGGGGCAGGGCGGAGGAAAGUAGUUCGGCUGCUCAUUUACUAUUGGUCCAAAUUCUAUCAAUUAUGUCGCGAAACGAGUCGGCGACGACGUUUUAGGAGCUUUUUUAAACGAAUGUUGCUGCAAUUUUUCGCUACGUUAUAGAAAUAUCCGUUAUAGUAACGCAUGUUAUAGGAGGGUCAACUGUAAUUAAAUAUUUAAAAAAUAAUAAUAAAAUAUGAAAACAUAAGGCGUUACUAAAAUUAUCAAUAUUGGUACUUUUUUUAUCUGAAGGUUAUGAUUUCAAUUUUGGUUUUGGUUUUGGUUUUGGUUUGCUCGUAUAAAUAGAUUGUAGAUUAAUUAUAAGACGGAUAUUUGUAUGUGAGCUGGCAAUAGAAUACAAUAAGAGAUUUUUUUAUUCUGCUACCAUUAACAUACGUUAUUCAGGUGAGUGUGUUCUCUAGUGUAAUUGUACUUUACCGUUUAUAAAUGGUUAAUAUUCUUUAAGUUAAAUAAAUCGCUAUUCAAUAUUCGUUAAUAAUAUUGAUAUACCCGACAUAUUUCUGUUAAGGUAAGUUUCUAGUUUAUAAAAAAAUAUAAUACAGUAGAAUCUUAUAACAUUGUUAAUAAUUUCGUUUUAUAUAAAUUUCAUGUUGUACGAGUAACUUAAAUUUUACAAAUACGUGUGCUGGGCUGCGAACGACUCACGUAUUUGUAUGACCUAAAAGGCAAUAAAUUUUUCUAAGACGCUGAGACGUACUAGGCCAUCAGUCACUGUAAGUCAAUACAUUACGGAGUCUGACACUUUUACGAUAAACAGAUGUCAACGAUUGGAAGAAAAAAAAGUGACGAAAUGUAAACACAGAUGUACGCAUGUCAAGCUGGCGAUUACAUCGAAUUCUCUUUCCAAUGAAUCCCCCUUAGGUAUAAAAAGGGGUCGAAUUUGUUCCUCCGGGCGGUUAGCCGAAAGCACACCGCCGAAUAACUUUUCUAGGGAAGUCACUACAGUCUUUCUACAGUCGAAAAGCGACGGAGCGGACACUCUCUACGGACAUAGCCGAACGGACGUCAAGAGAUAUCAGUUCAAUACCGCCAAACUGUUUAUCGUUCCAUUUUGCUAUUCAAAGGAACUUCGAUUAAAAACCGCCGAUUUCAGUAUGAUGUAUUAACGCCGUAAACGAAGAGAUCGCAUCCGCCGAGUAUUUGGACACCUUUUCACGAUCUCACUACCCUUCCCACUCAUUUGCCAAAGCCAUCCCUGACAACGAAGCCGAUAAGUCGUAAGAAAGCGAUUGUAUAUAAGAGAGGUGAGAAGUCGAGUUAAUAUUCAUUUGAAACGUUCGGAGUUUAAGAGACACACACACACCCUUGUGUCCCGACUGUCACCGGAUAAAUCCACGAUGUUAGAUUCGACGGGUCGGCCGAUAAACAAGCGAUUGUAUAUAAAAGAGGUGAGAAGUCGAGUUGAUAUUCAUUUGAAACGUUCGGAGUUUAAGAGACACACACACACUCUUGUGUCCCGACUGUCACCGGAUAAAUAUUCGAUGUUAGAUCUGACGGAUCGGCCGAUAAACAAGCGAUUGUUUAUAAGAGAAAUAAGAAGUCGAGUUAAUAUUCAUUUGAAACGUUCGGAGUUCAAGAGACACACACACACUAUUGUGUCCCGACUGUCACCGGAUAAAUCCCCCGAGGUUAGAUUCGACGGGUCGGCCGAUAAACAAGCGAUUGUAUAUAAGAGAGUUUUCCAAUUAAUCCACUCCACGAGCCGUUUUCAGUCUGAUAUCCAAAUACUUUAGGUAUUGGUUUCACAAGAGAAUAACUACAAUAUUUCUACAAAUAA